UGGGGAAUAUUGGACAAUGGGCGAAAGCCUGAUCCAGCCAUGCCGCGUGUGUGAAGAAGGUCUUCGGAUUGUAAAGCACUUUAAGUUGGGAGGAAGGGCAGUAAGCGAAUACCUUGCUGUUUUGACGUUACCGACAGAAUAAGCACCGGCUAACUCUGUGCCAGCAGCCGCGGUAAUACAGAGGGUGCAAGCGUUAAUCGGAAUUACUGGGCGUAAAGCGCGCGUAGGUGGUUCGUUAAGUUGAAUGUGAAAGCCCCGGGCUCAACCUGGGAACUGCAUCCAAAACUGGCGAGCUAGAGUAGGGCAGAGGGUGGUGGAAUUUCCUGUGUAGCGGUGAAAUGCGUAGAUAUAGGAAGGAACACCAGUGGCGUAGGCGACCACCUGGGCUCAUACUGACACUGAGGUGCGAAAGCGUGGGGAGCAAACAGG
rnacentral:rRNA from 1 species